CAAAAAUAGUUUAUUAUCGAUACGGUAUAAAAUACAAAUGAUAUAAUAUGUAAAUAGAAAAACGAAAGAUAUGUGAGAAUUAAUCUUACUAUAUGCUUCAGAAUACAAACGAUAACCAAUGGAGACCGAUGUCCAUUUCAAACCCAUCGACGAGACUACGCCUUGCCCGCAACAUGCCCCAAUGGGUGAAUAAAAGUGGUUCCAGUGGUGUUCCGCCACCUCCUGUACCUCGUGAAGAGUCUUCAAAAGCAAAACAUCAAACACAGGAACCCGAUUAUGAAGUAAUUGAAUUUGGGCAAUAUUCAAAUGCACCGUUACUACAAAAUAAACAUGAGCAAGGAAAACCCAGACCAGAAAAAAAUUGCCAACUAUGCGGAUCGUCUUCGCCAACAGUUAGCGUACGCUGUGAACAAUGCAAACAAAUUUUUUGUUUGUCAUGCGACGAUAUGUAUCAUAGACAUCCAAAGAGACAGACUCAUAUACGAAGGAGAAUAGAAGAUAAAGGAUUCCAGCCCAUAAGACCACCCCUGCCCCCCAAAGGAGAAAACCCCCAUGUUCCCGUGCCUCCGCCGCGUCGCCAUCGCAGAGCUGGAUCAGUCGGGCCAUCCCCAUGUCCAUCACCUACGCCAAUGAAACAGCAUGGUGCGUCCUCAUUCACAAUGCCUAGAAAGGACAACUCGUUCAGCCUUAAAGAGAAAAUGAGUAGUUUAAGAAGAGGACUUACUUUAGGUAAUAGACCUUUGCCCCCUACGCCUCCUAGUGGCAGCAGUGGCGUGCCUAGUUAUCCGACGUCAAGAUCGAACUCACAAGUGUCUCAUGAUGACUUUUCUCAAUUCCAACCCCCUAGUCCUAGUCCGUCGCUACAGCAGAGAUACCGGCAGCACCAAUUGGCAAUGAGAGGAACUACACCAAAUCUACCAUCAACUGUAGCGGAAUUUGACCAGCCGUCAAGCCUUGAUUCUGGCUAUCCAGAUUGGGAAAAAGAUCAAUGGCCAAUGCGCAAUCGCACAGGAAGCGUUUCUGGAUCAGAAACUGGAAGCCGGUUGGUUCGAAAGCUCAGUAAUACCUCCUGUCCACCACCAAAUCGUGGUGUACCUCACAGCACUUCCGUUUUCGAUUUAAACAAUGCACCCGUCCACCAUCAUCAUCAUGGGUUCAUCCCUAUGCAACAAGCUCAUUCCAUGGCACAACUGAACUACCCCGGAAUACCAUGCUGUCAAAAUGCUUGGAUGGAGCAACAGCAGUUGUGUUGUGAUCCCGCGCAUAACAGUACUAUGAGUCUUAAUAUGGCAGCAGCGGGUUAUCCAAGAAAUCCGAUGUGGAUGGGCACAUGGCACGGACCACCACCUGGAAUGUAUCCUUAUGGUCUUCCUCCCCCACAUGCCAGAUCGUGUUCACAUUCCCGUCCCGCUUCUCCAACCCACAGCGUGAAAUCCAGAAAAUCGAACAUGAGCAAAAAGUCCCGCAGAAAAUAUCGCGAUGAAACAUCAGAAGAGUCGGAUAUUGAAGAUCGACGAUCUGUUUUUAGUCAUUCUGAUAAUAGGAGCGAACGACGGUCUCUGGGACGAUAUUAUGUCCGGGAGAGACCCUUAAGAGACACCGUUUCCAUGCCCAAGGAAACCCUACGCAAAAAUUCAAGUAGCAAAGCCAGCGACAGACUCGAACGUACCUCAGUAGGUAGAAGUAGAGUGAGCGUACAAGAAUCAUCCAGCGAAGAAAGCGACGAUGAACAAUCGGACAGUCCCAAAGAUCCUCUGGAGCUCGACGAAGAAGAUGAAGUUUCUGAGGUGGAUACCGUUUCGCAACUGCCCACUUCAUCAUGGUCCUGUGAGCAUUGUACUUUUGUAAACGAACCAGGAACGCGCGUGUGCCUCGUGUGCUGCAAAACGCCUACCAGCAAGGUCAAAAUUGUAAAGAAUCCUUCCCCUCAAAGCCCCGUUUCCAAAAAACCUCCAGUAGGUCGGACCAUGGCCAGUCUUCAACCCAAACAAAAAGAGUCGAAAGAUAAGGAACGGGUAGGGCAAAACGUGAGCUCAGAUGAUUACAGUCGAGAUCACAGCGAGACCGAAUCGGCCCAGAACAAACUGGAAAAGCUAAACGUCAGCAGCUCGGGGGAAGAGAAAAAAAGUCCAGAACCCAAACCAAAAGGGGAGCUGGGAGCUGAUAUUACAGAAAAUAAUUCACUUUCUCGUGAUAAUCAUGAAAUAGAGGAAGUCGUCAAAAACAAUUCAAAAACGUCUACAGCUUGCGGGACUCCUCCGUCUCCUAAAGAAAUUUCAGAACAAUUUCAAGAUAACGUGCAGGAAAAAAAAAUGAGUACUACUAGUACUGGAACUUCGCCGCCGCCUCAAAAUAUGUCAACACAGACAUAUGAUGAACUGCCAUUUGUCGAGACACCAAAUUCCUUGUCAAAAAGUCCAAGAUCACCAAGAUCUAGAUCUGUUAGCCGUGGAAGCAAGAAAAGGGAACUAAAAAGAUCACAUUCCCUGCACACGAAUUCUUCGAAAAGAGAAUCCGACUGGUCGUUACAUAGAUCAUCCAGUCGUCAAAGCUUUACUACAGACUCCCAGAGCUUGCCAGGCAGCAGAGAACCCAGUCCUUUACCGUUCGACUACGAAGAAGCCUACUUCGAUAAUAAGCCCAAUAAUUACAGACAGCGGAAGUCCGGUAAUCCGAAGAUAUAUAGCAGCUUCAUGGAUUUAAGAAAGCCAGAAAUGUACCACCGAAGACCUAGUCAUCAAGACUACGGAUAUUACAGGCAGGUGGAUGGUUUGGAGCCUCUAAGUCACCAUCACAGAAGCGAAUCACUGCGUCCAGACUACUUUGACAACAGUUUUGAACGAAGAGAUUCGUAUAAAAACCAGGGCAUGGAACUAGUAAAGUUACUGAGAGAAGCUGAGCAAUUCAAGUUCACAGCUGAUGAAGUUCAGGCAGCUUUGCUUCAUUGCAAAGAUAUGAACCCAAUAGAUUGGUUAAAGGAACACUGGGAUGCAACUAUCGCUAGCGUUCAAACCCUGGCUACCCAAAUGGGUAGAGAAGGACCAAUGAAUAUUGUUGGCACCGUGUCAGAGAAAGAAGCUAGAGACGCUCUUAGACUUCAUAAGGGUGACCUAUGGCCAGCCGUUCAAGAAUGUGUCGAUCAAAGACAAAGAAAAUACGCAGAACUGGCUAGCCGUGGCGACUAUUCUAGAGAGGAUAUCGUGACGGUACUUACAACAAAUCAUGGUGAUUUAGAGGCUGCAUACAGCGAACUAAAUAGGACUCAAAUAAAACCAUUCCUAAUGAGGAUUUGGGGACCGCCUACCGGUGUGGAAAACGAGGCAGGUAACGAGGGGGCUACGCUGCAAAGGUUCAGGGGGGAAGAUGUGUUAAGUGACGAGGAAAAACAAUUGAAAAUAGAAGCAGAAGCGGUAAGUGACGCAUCAAUUAAAUCUAGCAAUAACUCGGAAAAGUCUUCCCCUCGAAACGUGCAUCACACCACCUCGUCCCCCCAGGAUUUAAAAAAAGCCCGACAAACCAAUAACCGUUUAGAUGACGUAGAAGAUUUAAGUAGAAGUAGAAAUAGCAACCUUGACGAUUUAGAUGCUUUAGAAACGGAGAUUUUAAAAAAAAUUCAAGAUAUUAACAACCUAAACGAUGAACUAAACGCUAAAGAACCGCUAACCCUAAACCGAUCGCCGACGAACACUAAUCAAGCUAAACCUUUGCAAAACUCUUCGAAUAUAACGAAAUCAAACCUUGAAAAUGUAACCGCCCUUAAAGAUGAUCCGGUGACUCCGGUAAUAGUAGAGCCUCAAACACCCCAAACUCCAAAAAUAUACGUUGAGAAAAGUAGCACCGUCAUUCAAGUAGUGGAUUCAGUAAAUUUUGAUUUUGGAAACAUACAGAAAAAUGAAGGUCCCGAAUCUAGUUCUUCUAGUUCUAACGAAGAAAACUUAGGAGAUGAACAGUUUGCAGAUGCCAUAGAAGAUCUUAACAACGAGCUAAUAAAUUUGAACAAUAAUAAAAAUAAUGCAAAUGAAGAUAAAACAUCAAACAAAGAUGAACGCGAAGAAAAAGGAAUCUCUCCUAAAAAUAUCUCUCAACCUUCAACAUCUCAGAAGAAGCCUGAUAGAAAAAUUAGUGUUAGUACACUGAAUAUUCAGAUAGUUGGAUCAAAUAAAAAUAAAGGUGAUUCACUUUCAAAAGCCAUCCAAAUAGAAGACGAAGAUAGACAACCAACUACUCAGGAUAAAGACGAGGUAAAAGAAAGCACUGCUCAAAUUGUUUUGAUGACAAGUAAAAAAGAAACUGAGAAUGAUAACAAACAAGUUGAAUCAAAUAGUCCUUUAGAUAUAGGACAUAAAAUAGACAAUAGUAAGUCUGAACCAACAAUUAAGAAUAAUAAUGAAUCCAGUAUCAGUCAAAAAAAUAAUAUUGAUAACAGUAUUGAAGAAAACAAACAAGAAGUGAUUAUUCAAGAAUCAGAAGGACAGGAUAUAAGUAUCACAACUGAAAAUGAUAAAAUAAAUAUUCUAGAAGAAGUUAAUGAAGAUUGUAUUAUUAAAGAAAGUAAUGAAACUAGUCAAACAACUCUUGAGAAUCAAGAAAAUAUUAGUAAGAUCUCGAAUCCCAAUAAAAACCAAUGUGAAGUGGAUCAAAAUCAAAAUUUUAUUAUAAUAAGUGACACUCAACAAAUAACACCAGCCCAAGUCGAUUUAGAAUAUCGGAAUAAUGUACAAAAAAUAACUCAGGAGAGUGAAGAUUCAGAUAAACAAAAUAUUGAUAUUAUUAAAGAAAUUUCAUCUGAAGAGACAUCAGUUUUAAAUCACAAGGCAUCUGUACAAGUAGAUCUGCAAAAAACUGUUGAAAUGGGAGAUAGUCAAAGUGGAAUGAGCAAUUCAAACAUAACAAAAGAUGAAACUAUCCUAAACCAACAAAUACCAGAAAAUUUUGAAGAUAAAAAGCUUAAACCGUCUCCAAAAAAUGAGAAAGUAUCUGAAAAAAGAAAUGUGGAUAAGGAUAAAUUGCCAACUCCUAUAAAAGAUGUGGUAAUCCAAGAAAUUGAUGCGAUUGCAUUGGAAAAUACUAUAACAGAUUGUAGACAACCAGAGGCUAAGUUUGAACCAACACAAAUUACUUCUGUAUUAGAUGAAAAUGUAAAUGUGACACAGACAAGUGAUCAAAUUAAUUCUAUUGAAAAUAUCAAAGAAAAUGAUAACAAAAUAGUUGAAAAAAAUAAUGAUUCUAAAGGGGAAUCAAAAGAAAAUAUGCCUCCAACAGGAUUAAAGUCCAAAUCCUCUACUAAAAGACGCAGGAAAUCAAGAAAGAAGUUCCAACAAAAAGAUAAGAAAAGUAAUUUGAAGAAACAAGACUCCACAAGUACUACUGAAUCUAGCAGUGAUGCACCUGAAAAAGAGCAUUCAAAAAAUGAUAAUCAAACGAACGAGGAAACGCAAAGCGAUUUAGAGUCGUCAAAAGGUGCCUUAGCUGGCCAUAAACUUGGCAGAAAAAAGCCUUUGAAAAAGAACGAUAGUCAGAAAUAUACCAAAUAUAAGAAUAUGCCAAUUAGACAAGUUCCUGAUUCGCCAAUCGAUGAAAACCCUGAAAUUGUAUUUGAAGGUGAUAAGAAUAAGGAUAAAAACAAUAUAAUUUCCACAAAUGUAACGAAAAAAAAUCAAAUAACAAAAACCGAUACAGAAAUUGGGUUGUUGACACCUAAAGAAAAAGAUAGUAAUUUUUCCAAUGACACAGAUAACGUUUUAAAUACUAAACAAAAAGAGAUUAAACCAAUUAUCUCAACUAAGAUUCAAAUGGCUCAAAACAACCAGACUACAAUAACGCCUGGUAAAAAUAGACCUUCAAAAAUUCCGGUAAUAUCAAGACAAAAUUCGAUUUCAAAAGAGCCUAAAUCGCCUACUAACACAAGCGGAAGUAAGAUUCCAAUCAAAAUGCCAAGUCCUCCAAAAAGACUGAAGAAAAAAGAAACCACAUCUGAAGAACAUCGAAGUAAAUCUGAUGAGGAAACCAAACAACAGAUUCCACUUGAAGAAAGUACUGGGAGAAAUAACAGUUAUUCUGCUUUCAAUAAAACAGAUUCUUCUAAAUAUUUUAUUAAACAAUCCCGAAGUCUAUCUCCAAAAUUAGUUGGAACUGAGAAACCAAGUACUUCAAAACCUUUCGAUCAAAGGAGAAGUCUCUCAAGAAAAUCUUCAAUUAAGUCAAACAAAAGUGACGAUAUUCGAAAUCCUUUAAAUAGAAAAAUCGCUCAUAACUCUUUUAAGAGUUCUUUCGACUCUACAACAAGUUCUAAAAAAAUGUCGUACACAAAAAGUCUCGAUUACGACAGCGAAAGCUCUGUAUCUGACAGCAAUGUUGAGGAACUCCUAGAUCCUAGUACCGAUGAAGAUAUUGAUGAUUUCGAAGACGAUUUUGAGAAUAUAGAUGAAGAAGAACUGCAUAGUAAUUCGGAGGAGUACAGAAACUUUGACGAGCAAAAAACGAAAGUAGCUCAAGAACUCAACAUAGAUCUAACUCAAAUUAGCGACAGAGUCAAUCAAUUGACUUUGAAUCUUGAUAAUAAGGCUCAGAACUUUCAAUCUAUCGAAGAGACAUGCGAAUCGGAAGAAUAUGAGUCCGAGGAAGAAAUAGAAGUUGACGAAACUGAAAGCAGCAUUGAAGAACGAGAUGGAAGUUAUAUAGAUGAUGAGUUGGGCAAUGACGGUUCUGAGGGGAAUGAGUUUAAAGUGGAGAAAAAAGAGCCCACUGAAAUUGAAGUUAUGGAGAGACAGGCAAGAAGAUUUUUAGCAGAAGGACAAGUCCAGAACUACCAGCAAGCGGAGUUAGCAGUCAGUUUGAUGUCUCUAAAAUUCUCCGCUGAAGAAGCUUUGGAGGCGGCUCGUGACUGCAAUACUCUAGACACUGCCAUAUCUUUUUUACAGCAGGACUGUGAACUGUGCGCCGGGAAAUAUCCUGUAAAUAAUAUUGUAUCUAUGUUGAAGUGUACCCAUCGUUGCUGUCAAGAUUGUGCGAAAAACUACUUUACUGUACAAAUUACAGACAGAAGUAUUAUGGAUUGUAACUGUCCGUUUUGUAAGGCUCCAGAACUAAGUUAUAACAGUUCUGCGUCAGAAGAUGAUAUCUCCGAUUAUUUUGCGCAUCUGGACAUUUUACUAAAAGGAAUCUUGGAUCCCCCAGUGCACGAAUUAUUUCAGCAAAAAUUGCGAGAUAGAACACUAAUGCAAGAUCCCAAUUUUAAAUGGUGCGCGCAGUGUUCCUCUGGAUUUAUAGCUCAUCCAAAACAAAAAAGACUGCUCUGUCCAGAUUGCAAAUCAGUUACUUGUGCGAGCUGUAGGAGACCAUGGGAAAAGCAGCAUGAGGGCAUCACUUGCGAAAAGUUUGCUGAAUGGAAAGACGCGAAUGAUCCUGAAAAUCAAGCUACAGCUGUUGCUAAGCAUCUGGCUGAAAAUGGUAUUGAUUGUCCAAAAUGCAAGUUCAGGUAUUCUUUGGCAAAAGGAGGUUGUAUGCAUUUUACAUGUAUUCAAUGCAAACAUGAAUUUUGUUAUGGCUGUGGCAAACCAUUUAUGAUGGGUGCAAAAUGUGGAAUGAGCCAGUAUUGUGCCAAAUUGGGACUACACGCGCACCAUCCUAGAAACUGUCUAUUCUAUCUAAGAGAUAAAGAACCACAUGAUUUACAGAAACUUUUGAAGGAUAACAAAAUAACAUUUGAUACAGUCCUCCCGUCAGAAAAAGAAGAUAAUGCUAGUGCAGUACUAAAAUGUCCAGUACCAUUGCAGAAAGAAGCUCCAACAGGCCUAAUAGAUACAGUUUGUAAUAACGACGUAUUACAGGGUCAAGCAGGGUUGUGCAGAAUGCAUUACAUAGAAUAUUUAUGUUUUCUUAUAAGAAGAAACAAAAUCGAAACAUUAGAAAUUCUGCAGGAGGAUGACUUAGAAACACUUGUUAGACGCGCCUCUAAAAAAUUGCCCCCAAACGCGUAUGGCACCCCUAAGAGAAUGUACAAGUUUAGACUUAAGCAGGUAUUUAAGUGGCGUGGUUUAAAGGCUAGAAUAAUUCUUUUUUGUGCGUGUUGUCAUUUUUGUUUGUUAUUUGUAAUUAACUUUUGCCUGGAUAGACAAAAUAAUACCUUUCGAUACCCUUUAAACCACACCAUUAACUUCCAACAUUCUAACUAACCAUUUCCUUUUUGUUUGUGUGUGAUAGGCAACACUAUGUGGAAUACUUAGUGGGCCUCAUUGGAAAACACAAGUUGGAUCCAAUCUUAAUUCUGGAUUUGAAUGAAGUGUAUCAGGAGUUCAGAAGAAGAGGAAAAGAAUUGCCGGAAAGAGGACCUUGGUGUGAUGACAAACAAUAUUGGGAUAUGUGUGUUAAGAUUGUUAUGGAACAAAUACCUUUGGAAUGAAACAAAUAUAUGCCUCAGAUUGAGAAAGAAGCAGCAUAUCUAUGUACUGAUGGACAAGAUUCCUAUGUAUUGAUUAGGAAAUGAUAGAAAGUUAUGAAGUACCUAAAAGAGUACAGAGGAGUGCAAUAUUUAAUAACUACCAGCAAUAUUUAAAAUAUAAAAUGUUUGUAUUAUUUAACUAAUAUCCUUCCAAUUUUCAUAGUUAAAAUAAAGUAAAAACUUUCCCUGAA
rnacentral:misc_RNA from 1 species